CGGCGGACGGGUGAGUAAUGCCUAGGAAUCUGCCUGGUAGUGGGGGACAACGUUUCGAAAGGAACGCUAAUACCGCAUACGUCCUACGGGAGAAAGCAGGGGACCUUCGGGCCUUGCGCUAUCAGAUGAGCCUAGGUCGGAUUAGCUAGUUGGUGAGGUAAUGGCUCACCAAGGCGACGAUCCGUAACUGGUCUGAGAGGAUGAUCAGUCACACUGGAACUGAGACACGGUCCAGACUCCUACGGGAGCAGCAGGC
rnacentral:rRNA from 1 species